rnacentral:sRNA from 15 species
CAUGGCCAUUGUAAUUACGAAGUAACUCAAUAAACAGUUGUGUGUGUUGCUGUUACUGUUGUACAUACAUGCAAAUUGCAAUUAGUUUCUGCAUUGCAUUUGGUAUUAUUAUUGAAUUUGGACUAAUACGCAAAUACGAACAACCAACCUCGUGAUUACCGUCAUAUACAUCAUCAUAGCCGUCAUAGCCGUCAAAGCCGUCAAACCCGUCAUCUGCACUGACCUAUGACUCCGUCGACUGGUCGAAGGUGGUGAAAUUAUGGCAUUCACGCUACAAUCGUUUCUUCAUGGGCUUACUUAAAUACAUUAUUGAUUUGCAAAUAGUACGUCGGUAGGCCCUGCCACCAGAACUACCAUUAUCACCUCAUUAAAACUGAAUUCAAUAACUCUCAGAACUGACAGCGUACAUCAUGUUUUAUUGGAAAAAAUCCAAUGGAUAUGCAGCUGCCACAGCCAAGCUUGAAAAUUAUUCAAAGAAUCAGAAGUUUAUGCCACGAUUGUAGGGUUUCCGUGCUGCACCAUUGAGGGUGAUGAAAUCCGUGUACAUACCCCAUCGAUUCCAGCAGCCACUCGAGUCGUCGUCAGGCGUCAACUGCUGAUUGUUCAGCUACUUUUAUCCACACACACAAUUUGCCUGCUAACUUCUUUUUAUUGGCUACUAAAUGCAUCGCUAAAUCCUUUGUGCAAAUUGCCAUAUUGUUGGCAGCUGCCUUUUGCAUCGCUCCAUGGGGCGAUGUUUUCCAGCCCCACUCUCAACCCCUGGGGGGGCUCACUGGCGUGAGCAUUUGUUAAGUGGCAAAAGAUUGAAAUGAAGGCAAACACAUGUGCACUCCGAGAAAAUAGAAACCAAUUUAUCUGCCAAUGGAGAAAACGAUGAUGGAGGUUUUAUGUAUUCCAUUAAAGAAAAGUUUAAAUGAUUAAAGAGACGAUCGCGUUUCUUAACUAACAAAUCAUCGAAGGAGUCAUUCAAGAAUCAUCUUCUUUCCAAUCCAGGCAAAAU